rnacentral:rRNA from 1 species
AUGACUUGUGGAUAGCGGUGAAAUUCCAAUCGAGCCCGGAGAUAGCUGGUUCUCCCCGAAAUAGCUUUAGGGCUAGCCUCAAGCGUAGAGAAACGGAGGUAGAGCACUGAAUGUCCUAGGGGGUAUUGCACUUACCGAAGACUAUCAAACUCCGAAUGCCGUUUUCUUUUACUUGGGAGUCAGACUGUGGGUGAUAAGAUUCAUAGUCAAAAGGGCAACAGCCCAGAUCGUCAGCUAAGGUCCCUAAAUGUACGUUAAGUGGUAAAGGAUGUGGGAUUGCACAGACAACCAGGAUGUUGGCUUAGAAGCAGCCACUCAUUUAAAGAGUGCGUAAUAGCUCACUGGUCGAGUGAUCCUGCGCCGAAAAUUUCCGGGGCUAAAACGUACUACCGAAGCUACGGCAUCAUUUAUGAUGGGUAGGGGAGCUUCGUAUGCAGGCUGAAGCAUGACCGUAAGGACAUGUGGACAGUAUACGAGUGAGAAUGUUGGCAUGAGUAGCGAGACGUGGGUGAGAAUCCCACGGGCCGUAAACCCAAGGUUUCCAGGGGAAGGUUCGUCCGCCCUGGGUUAGUCGGGACCUAAGCCGAGGCCGAAAGGCGUAGGUGAUGGACAACAGGUUGAUAUUCCUGUACCGCCAAUAAGCGUUUGAGAGAUGGAGUGACACAGUAGGAUAAGCUAACCGUACUGUUGGUUAUGUACGGCUAAGCAUUGAGGCAGUCUAAAUAGGCAAAUCCGUUUAGACAAUGCUAGGAUGUGAUGGGGAAGCCCUUCGGGGCGAAGUAGCUGAUUUCACACUGUCAAGAAAAGCUUCUAUCGAGUUUAAAGGCGCCCGUACCGUAAACCGACACAGGUGGGUGAGGAGAGUAUCCUAAGGCCAGCGAGAGAACUAUUGUUAAGGAACUCGGCAAAAUGACCCCGUAACUUAGGGAGAAGGGGUGCCUGUCUAUGACAGGCCGCAGAGAAUAGGCCCAAGCGACUGUUUACCAAAAACACAGGUUUCUGCUAAGUCGCAAGACGAUGUAUAGGAGCUGACGCCUGCCCGGUGCUGGAAGGUUAAGGGGAUCUGUUAGAGCAAUCGAAGCAGUGAACUUAAGCCCCAGUAAACGGCGGCCGUAACUAUAACGGUCCUAAGGUAGCGAAAUUCCUUGUCGGGUAAGUUCCGACCCGCACGAAAGGCGUAACGAUUUGGGCACUGUCUCAACAAUAGACUCGGUGAAAUUGUAAUCCCGGUGAAGAUGCCGGGUACCUGCGACAGGACGGAAAGACCCCAUGGAGCUUUACUGUAGCUUGACGUUGGGUCUUGGUACUACAUGUACAGGAUAGGUGGGAGACUAUGAAGCAUGGACGCCAGUCUGUGUGGAGUCAUCCUUGGGAUACCACCCUUGUAGUACUGGGAUCCUAACCAUAGGCCUUGAAUCAGGUCUUGGAACACCGUCAGGUGGGCAGUUUGACUGGGGCGGUCGCCUCCUAAAAAGUAACGGAGGCGCUCAAAGGUUUCCUCAGCACGGUCGGAAAUCGUGCGAAGAGUGUAAAGGCAAAAGGAAGCUUGAUUGCAAGACAUACAGGUCGAGCAAGGACGAAAGUCGGACUUAGUGAUCCGGUGGUACCGCAUGGAAGGGCCAUCGCUCAACGGAUAAAAGCUACCCUGGGGAUAACAGGCUUAUCUCCCCCAAGAGUCCACAUCGACGGGGAGGUUUGGCACCUCGAUGUCGGCUCAUCACAUCCUGGGGCUGUAGUAGGUCCCAAGGGUUGGGCUGUUCGCCCAUUAAAGUGGUACGCGAGCUGGGUUCAGAACGUCGUGAGACAGUUCGGUCCCUAUCCGUCGCAGGCGUAGGAAAUUUGAGAAGACCUGUCCUUAGUACGAGAGGACCGGGAUGGACGUACCUCUGGUGUACCAGUUGUUCUGCCAAGGGCAUGGCUGGGUAGCUAUGUACGGAAUGGAUAAGCGCUGAAAGCAUCUAAGCGCGAAGCCAACUUCAAGAUAAGAUUUCCCACCGUAAGGGUAAGACCCCAGGAAGACUACCUGGUUGAUAGGUCGAAGGUGUAAGUGCAGUAAUGUAUUUAGCUUAUCGAUACUAAUAGGUCGAGGACUUGACCAA